AUGAUCUCUGUUCAUAGGGCCCUUCUUGACUUAGGGCGCCUCGCUUUCCGUCGGCCAUUUGGGCCGGCGGAAUCCGCCGCCUGGCGUGAGUUGCUUGACUGCGUUGCUCUGCAUGAGCCGGUGGUGGAUGGGGAUCAGGAUCUUGUGCGCUGGCACCUGGAGCCGUCGGGCCAGUUCUCUACCAAAUCGCUAUACUUGGCCAUUGCCCCCUCCUCCGCUCCCCUCCCCCUAUCGAUGGUGUGGUCCGUCCGCGUCCCCCUGAAGAUUCGCAUCUUCAUGUAG
rnacentral:rRNA from 1 species